UACGGAGGAUCCGAGCGUUAUCCGGAUUUAUUGGGUUUAAAGGGUGCGUAGGCGGCCUAUUAAGUCAGGGGUGAAAUACGGUGGCUCAACCAUCGCAGUGCCUUUGAUACUGAUGGGCUUGAAUCCAUUUGAAGUGGGCGGAAUAAGACAAGUAGCGGUGAAAUGCAUAGAUAUGUCUUAGAACUCCGAUUGCGAAGGCAGCUCACUAAGCUGGUAUUGACGCUGAUGCACGAAAGUGUGGGGAUCGAACAGG
rnacentral:rRNA from 1 species